GGUUCCUAGCAGGUUACAAUGCAGUUGUCCUUUUAAAACCAGAAAAAGUUUAAAGGAGGUGAGAGAAUUCGAACCCCUUCUGCCUUUGUGAGGCUGUGAGUGCUGCAGCAGGACUGAACUGCUGAGAAAAAUCACCUUUCAGAACAGGUUGUUUUAAUUACUUUUGACCAUUAAACUUGCUGUCAGGUUUUUAAUUCUUUAUUAUUAUUAUUUUAGGACCUGUUGUAGUGAAUUGCUACUGAAAAGCCAGUCUAAGGCGAUACGCAGAGCACUCGUAAAGCAGCAGUCACAUUAGGCACCAGCACUUUCUAAAUUGAGAGCAUGUUGCAGUGGACUUGAUGUUUUGCUAUUAAUCUGUGUUGGGAGACUGAAGGACAUGUUCUUCUCCAGUCAUCUUCUCCCAGAAUCCCUGGAAUAGGUGAAAAAGUAGAACAAACAAACAAGAAAGAGCAGCUGACAGACAGGAGAGAGAGAAAGCAGACAUUGUUCAUUCUGGAACCUGUAUAAAGUAAACAGCAAAAAGGUACCAGCUCACAGCUGAAACUGGUUCACACUGAGUUUAGGGAGGAUGGAUGUUUGUGGGUGUGGGCAUGUGC
rnacentral:lncRNA from 1 species